rnacentral:rRNA from 1 species
AGCACGCCGCGUGUGUGAUGAAGGGUUUCGGCUCGUAAAACACUGUUGUAAGAGAAGAAUGACAUUGAGAGUAACUGUUCAAUGUGUGACGGUAUCUUACCAGAAAGGAACGGCUAAAUACGUGCCAGCAGCCGCGGUAA